rnacentral:misc_RNA from 1 species
GAUGAAGAACGUAGCGAAAUGCGAUAAGUAAUGCGAAUUGCAGAAUUCAGUGAAUCAUCGAAUCUUUGAACGCACAUUGCGCCCGCUAGUAUUCUGGCGGGCAUGCCUGUCUGAGCGUCAUUUCAACCCUCGCCCCCGGCUUUUGCUGGGAGCGGUGUUGGGGAUCGGCCGCCCGUCACUGGGAGGCCGGCCCCGAAAUAGAGUGGCGACCACGCCGUGUGCUCCUCUGCGUAGUAGUAAAUCACCUCGCAGGCGGACAGCGGUGCGGCCUGCCGUAAAACCCCCAACUCUUUCUGGUUGACCUCAGAUCAGGUAGGAAUACCCGCUGAACUUAAGCAUAUCAAUAAGCGGAAGA